UACGUAGGGGGCAAGCGUUGUCCGGAUUUAUUGGGCGUAAAGAGCUCGUAGGUGGUUCGGUAAGUCGGAUGUGAAAUCUCCAGGCUCAACCUGGAGGGGUCAUUCGAUACUGCCGUGACUAGAGUUCGGUAGGGGAGUGUGGAAUUCCUGGUGGAGCGGUGAAAUGCGCAGAUAUCAGGAGGAACACCAAUGGCGAAGGCAGCACUCUGGGACGUGACUGACGCUGAGACGCGAAAGCGUGGGGAGCGAACAGG
rnacentral:rRNA from 1 species